rnacentral:rRNA from 1 species
AACAUUAAACAAAGGCUAUGGGAAGAGGAGUUUACUCUCAGUGCGGAGAAACGGGUAGAGGAUCGCGAACGGUAGCUGCCACCGCCGCCAGGUCUAGGCCGCGGUUGGAGGCCCUGAUGCAGGUGACGUCCCCGAGGGACGGAGGAGGUCCAGCUGGCCGAGGUGGUAGGUCCGCAGGGGCCGCAGCACGAGGUGUAGCAGCUCACCCUAGGCCGGCAGCGGUGGCGGUGCCAGAGGUGGAGAGGUCCCCGUCGCCCGCGGGGAGGGGUGAGGGGGCUGCCCAGGCACUGGCCCGACUUGUGGGUGCCGUGCCCGCACUUUGCGUCGGGCUGCCGGCGUGCGGUUUCGAGAAGAAGGAUCAGAGCCUGCCAUCUAACUUGGCUACUUGGAAUAUAUCUCAGGUACCUCCAGGACCAGAGAGGGUUGUGUACUUCGAUCUACUCGUUCUUCCUAUUGUUGACGGUUUCCGAUCUCGAAAAGAUAGUACAUGGUAGUUCUACGAACAACCGAUAGUCAGGAAUUAUGAUUCAGAACGCCUGUACAUGAUUUCUACUAGGAGAGUACAAUAUUCCUACGUAGUAAACUAUAGACACAAGGAGUACACAAGACAAGGCAGACCCUACCGAAUUAAAAGAGUACAUGAGUUCAUGAAGGUCAAACUGUACACACAUCAAGACGAACUUCUCUACCGAAUUAAAGGAGUACACGAGUUUACAAACACUACAUAUUACGG